UACGGAGGAUGCAAGCGUUAUCCGGAAUGAUUGGGCGUAAAGCGUCCGCAGGUGGCAAUGUAAGUCUGCUGUCAAAGCGUCUGGCUCAACCAGAUAAAGGCAGUGGAAACUACAUAGCUAGAGUAAGGUAGGGGUAGAGGGAAUUCCUGGUGUAGCGGUGAAAUGCGUAGAGAUCAGGAGGAACACCGGUGGCGAAAGCGCUCUGCUGGACCUUAACUGACACUGAGGGACGAAAGCUAGGGGAGCGAAUGGG
rnacentral:rRNA from 1 species